UACGUAGGGUGCGAGCGUUAAUCGGAAUUACUGGGCGUAAAGCGUGCGCAGGCGGUUCGUUAAGUCAGAUGUGAAAGCCCCGGGCUCAACCUGGGAACUGCAUUUGAAACUGGCGGGCUUGAGUGUGGCAGAGGGGGGUGGAAUUCCGCGUGUAGCAGUGAAAUGCGUAGAGAUGUGGAGGAACACCGAUGGCGAAGGCAGCCCCCUGGGCUAACACUGACGCUCAGGCACGAAAGCGUGGGGAGCAAACAGG
rnacentral:rRNA from 1 species